UUUUGCUGCUCGCCGCUAUACACCUCAGCCCAACCGACCUCCCCUACCGCUCUAUAGCACCCUAUCACGUCCUCGACGCGCCAAAUGCUAGACGCCACCGCCGCCGCCUGUUGUGGUCGGCACCAUCCAGGCCACCUGACGUGCCCCCAAGCACCUCAACUCGUCGAGCUCAUCCUCAUCUUCGUCAUCAUCCCCUACAAGCCCCGCCAGCCAGGCGCCGCCUCCACUGUUUGCCAUCAGUGGCUGCCCAUCUCCCUCUGAGAGCAUCCCCAAGCCACCAAUCGACUAGUAGUGGCCAUCUUCCCCGCCUCAAGCAGUGACGCUCUGUGUCGUCUCUCUCUUAAAUUCGACAACCCCAGAGUUUCUGCCUCUCUACUCUCUCCACCAGAAACUUCCUCAGGAUCCAGCAAACCUAUUUCCAUCUCGCAUUCCACCGAAAACGAGCCAAGGGCAGAAGUCCAUUUGACCAUAGCCAUCCUCCACCAUGGUUGAAGCGCUGCUCAACCUCGAGCCCUCCAGCAACCCAUUUAGCCUCCAUCGUAUGCAAUCUCCUCUCCUAAGAAUGUGGAUGUGCCUCGCGCUAGAAACGGAGUCUCCUAGCGCUAGCAAUCAUCGUCGGAGUUCGCUUCUCUCUCUGUCCAAUGCGUGGGAGGAAGAAGGUGAACCCGAUAGGUGGGUCCCACCUGUCGGUGAGCCAGCCGACCCGCUAGUGGUGCUAGCUACUAGUAUGAUUUCUACUCUAGUAAAUACUUCUCUUUUCAAUGCUCUUUCUCUUCUCGAAAGCGUAAACCCUACCGAACCGUUUUCUUUUAUAACUGUAUUUAGAAACCAGAUUUCACCAAAGUUUGACUGCUUAUAAUUUUUAAACGAUAACUCAAAAAAUAUUUAUUAUUUUUUUGUUAUUCCUCAAAUUUAAGCAAGUUUAUUUUAGUAUUUAUUAAGAAAUUUGCCAAACAACUUUUCUACACUAUUUUGGAAAUGUGUGUUGAUUUCAGUAUUUUCAAAAAAAGGAAAAUUGGAAGGGGGAAUACUUUCAAAAUAUUUGGAGUGCAACCAACCCUUCUACAUACUCAAGGAAAGCAUCUUGAACACUGAUAUGUCAUAAACGGAGUGAUUGUUUUGCUGCGAUAAACGAAUGCAUGAUCAUGUUAGUGACAUAAAAAAUCAUAUGGAGAAUAUUCAUGCAUGAAUGCAUAUGGUGGAAAUUUAUUCUUCUUGUUGAUCAUGAGAUUGAUAUGAGAAGUGGUCACUGCCUCAUGCGAUCUAUGUUUAUACUAGUCUUGAAAAACCCCAGAGGAAGGUUUUGUCCUGAGUAAAGUGUGACGGCGAAAUAGAUAUCUCGUUGUGAUGAGAGCGAUCAGUGAGGGCAUAACUGGGCAUGAUGAGUGGUGACUAUGUUGGAUAACAUGUAGAAAAUUUGGUGUGCUAACCAUUGUAGGGAACUUAAACCUCAUGAGUCGACCAUAGAUCGAGUCUUGUAAUAGUAACCCCCAUACUUGAUUUGUGCUACCGCUGGUCCCUGCCACAGGUAGGGUACGGUCGAGUAAGUCAUCAACCCCUUUCCUUACACACACACCAUACACAAAGGCCACAGUCAAAGAUACCAAUAAUCAUUGGUAGGCAUGUCACUUGGUCCUAGGGCAUGGGUGUUUUGGUUGAACCGAGGGGGUAGCGCCCCAGUUUGCACACAUUACAAGUAUUGUGAUCCCAUUAUAUUCAAGAUUGUGGUCUCCCCAAUUAGAAUUUUACUUAACGUUUGCCUUGGGCGAUUCCUGGCAUCGGAAAGUUAAGCUGGUGUGUCCGUGUCAGGUGUGUUUCCAAUUCAAGGACCGUAAUCGGAAUUAGUCAACAACACGGGCUGACUAAAGAAAUCAGUUACACGUGGGUUAAGAGUACCCCCUGUGUAGAGUAUUAUACCUAUUCGAAUAGUAGUGUGUGCGGUUAAGGACUGUAGUCUGGGAUGGGUGAAGUGUCGGUCUCAGUUUCGAUCUUCGGAGGAAUUAAUUUAACAAGACUAUAAAUCUUGAAUUAAUACGGAUGAUUAUUAUUUUCAAAUUGUUGUAGACUAACCUUUUAUGUAUAUGAUGUUAUUGAGUAUCUCGGGCAUGGUGUUGCCGCGUGAAUCGUCAUAUUCGUAAUUCCAAUAUAAGCCCUUUAUAUGGCAUCGCUUCAAACGUCCGACUGUGGCACUUCUGUUAUUAUUUUGUUAUCUACCCCUUUAUGAGGCAUUGCUUCACACACUCGAUUGUGGCAUGUAUGUUAUUAUCUUUAAUAUAAGCCCUUUAUAUGAUGUCGCUUCAGACGCCCGACUUUAGCACGUAUGUUAUUAUAUUUAAUAUAAGCCCCGCAUGUGACGUCGCUUCCAACGCCCGACUGCGGCACGACUGUUAUUAUUUUUAAUAUAAGCCCUUUAUGUGAUGUCGUUCAGACCUCCGACCGAGGUAUUUUUUAUAUUUUUCCCUUUUGAUGUGUCGCUUCAGGUACCCGAUUAGUACAUUUUAAUUUUCUUGAAAUCCUCCAGAGACUCAACCCGAUGUUCCAUUUUUUUACCUUCCCUUAUUAUUGAUUAAUUUUAUUUUAUAUUACGGAUAAAUUAUCUGCAUAGUGGCAUUCAUGAAUUAUUCCUAUGGCAUGUUAGGUAUUACUAAAGUUCUCAUGCUUGUAACUCACGUGCUUUGUCAUGUCUAUUUUCAUGAUGUUUCCGAGUACAUUCAAACGUAUUUACUGGCUUGUCCCUGGCUAUUUUCUUGGUCAG
rnacentral:lncRNA from 1 species